GAGGUCAAGAAGGCUCAACCUACCAUAUCCACUGUCCUUGGACCAAACCACAGGCACAUGAAAGCGCACCAAGAGCAGCACAUCUGCCAGGGAGUACCUGGAGAACAGCAUGUCAGCUCUGCUCUGGACCAAGAUGUCAGAGGGCAGACAGUGAGACAGUGAGGAUUUAAUGUCGUCUUCUUCCUGGACCGGAUGGGAGGCAGCAGCUCAUCCAAGCUGUUCCCAGGAUCACCCCUGGGCUCAAAAGAGAAUCCCUGGCGGCAAAAUCCUCAAGCACACAGGUCAAUUCUGACUGUAUGAAAUGCAACCCUUCAGAACCAUCCUGGCUACACGGGACAGCAUGGCCAAGAAGAGCGUGGAGGCAAAUUACAAUGCUCUUUUAACAGCUGCCCAAAAGAAAAGAAGGCUCAGAAUUUUGGAGUGAGAUCACUACAUGGAGCUGGGCAAAACACAGAGGUUUUGAAUUGCAGAGGUUUAAUGAAGCCAAAAACCCAAAGCAAAUCUCAGUCAAACUCAUCAUGUUUCAUCUGGUUUAUUAUUAUUUAUAAUUUAUGGAGCUAUAGAAGUGUGCCUGGCACUGCAUGGAACAGAGACGGGGGGGCAGGAUUCCUGAUCUAAGACCCUUACCGAACCUAAUGACCCUUUCCUGCACCACUGGAGUCAACUGAAUGGUUCAUGAACUGUAGGCAUUGUUUCAGGGGGCAUAGGCUGAGGUCAGAGUCAUAGCCAAAUUCCAAACCAGGUGAGUUCCCCAUAGUUUGGAGCUUUAUAAUCAAGCAUUCACACAUUACCCCCUCUCUCAUUUCACAUUGCCUACUAAGAGCUAUCAGAUAUGAUUGUGUUUCCUUUACCUUCAAGCCACAAAAUAUAGAUCUGAAUCUAAAUAUCAAAACACUCCAGGUUUUGGGGUAGGGUUGGAACACAGAUUUUUUUCAGCUUAGCAGAAAGUAGCACUGAAACCUAUCAUACUCAAUCCAUAUAGCCAACAGCACCCUAUGGGCAGUGGUCCAGGAUACUUGGCCAUAUCUCUACUAAGACACAAGGUCCAGCUAAUCCAUUGUGUUCCAUAGCUAGCAUCAAAGGUUCCAUUACUAAUUUGGAUACUGUUGGCAUCAGUGGUCAGGUUCCAUGAUCACAGCAUUGUGGUAAGUUUCCUAGAUCUGAUUGAACUUGGCUGGGAGUUCUGCCCUUGGAUAUAAGUGUGCCUUACUCCAUUUUCACAGGGGCUUCUUGCUCAGCCUUAGACAUGUGCACUCUGGGCUGAAUACAAAUGAUUGCAGCCAAAAGUCAAAUUUGUUAAAUAGAAGUUCACCAAAAUAAUCUUAAGUGAAAGUGAAAUCCUGUAAAUAACAGAAGCCACAUGUCUGGAAGCAACCAACAGGGUACAUGCAGUUCUGUACUCUGGAAUUUUAACAUCAGGACUGUCACGGGCUCUCCGCACAGCCUUCUGCCAGCCAGUUCCUUACUAGGUGUCUCAGUUUCCCACAGCUGUAAAAUGGGGAUAAUGGCACUUGCUUCAACAGGGUGUACUAUGCAUGAAUAAGUUAGGACUUCUAAAAUGCUUUGAACAUGAGAGCCCUGUAUAGAGUGCUGAAGUGGUUUCAAUUUCAAAUGCAAACCAUGAGAGGGAUUAGUCCUUGCAUGACAAUUUAUUUUGGCAUUUUAAGAGGGGGAAAAAAGAAAAGAAAAACCCAGAACACUGAAAGCAUUAAGUCUUGAAAAUGGCUAGUGACUAAGUGCAUUAGCUGCAGUACUGCCAGGAAAAAGCAGCUGGCUUCUGCUGUGAAGCCAUAUUAUUGUAGACCUGGUUUUUCACAGCAAAUACUGCUUAGAGUAAAUACAGAGAAACACAGUUCAGCUGGUCAGUUAGUCGAUAAUUGCUAUGUCACCCAUGUUUAAGUUCUAGAGAGUUUGUCAACCUCAGUCGGAAGAGGAGUAGGCUGAAAGGAGAUAAACUAUACUACCCCGUCUUCCUACUGCUGUGACCACAUCAUGGCCAUCUUUGUAUUCCUUCAUUUGGCUUCCCUACCUCUUCACGUUAACACUUAGUGUCUCCUCCUUGUCAGAACUUAGUAGUUAAGUGCCUCGGCACAGUGGAAUUUUCUAGCACAAUGAAGCUUUUCGGCACGGUGAAAUUUCCGCUACGGUGGAGAACCCCGAUGCAGAAAAGCUCCCGCCAUCCCUAUGUAAAUACGCACACCAUUAUUGGUCGGUUCUAAAUUAUUCCUACGUGGCGA